AUACGGAGGGGGUUAGCGUUGUUCGGAAUUACUGGGCGUAAAGCGUACGUAGGCGGAUUAGUAAGUUAGGGGUGAAAUCCCGAGGCUCAACCUCGGAACUGCCUCUAAAACUGCUAGUCUUGAGUUCGAGAGAGGUGAGUGGAAUUCCUAGUGUAGAGGUGAAAUUCGUAGAUAUUAGGAGGAACACCAGUGGCGAAGGCGGCUCACUGGCUCGAUACUGACGCUGAGGUGCGAAAGCGUGGGGAGCAAACAGGAUUAGAAACCCCAGUAGUCC
rnacentral:rRNA from 1 species